rnacentral:rRNA from 1 species
UCUCCGGUUGAUCCUGCCAGACCUGACUGCUAUCUGGGUAAGACUAAGCCAUGCAAGUCUAAUGGUACCGCUUGGUACCAUGGCGAACUGCUCAGUAACAAGUGAUUAACUUACCCUUCAGUGGAGAAUAAUCUCGGGAAACUGAGGCUAAUACUCCAUAUUUGGAAUUGCCUGGAAUGGUAUUCCAUUGAAAGAUAUGCCAAAAUGUCGGCUGUUCGCUGAAGGAUAGGAUCGCUUUCGAUUAUGGUAGUUGGUGAGGUAAUGGCUCACCAAGCCUGUGAUCGAUAAGGGACGUGAGAGCGUGAGCCCUGAGAUGGGGACUGAGACAAUGCCCCAGGCCUUACGAGGUGCAGCAGGCGCGAAACCUUUACAAUGCACGCAAGUGUGAUAAGGUUACCCAAAGUGACAUUGAUGCAAAAGCAAUUUGUCUGUUGGAUGUGUUUAAUGAGCCAUCCGAGGAAGGAGAGGGCAAGGCUGGUGCCAGCCGCCGCGGUAAAACCAGCUCUUCAAGUGGUCGGGGCUAUUAUUGGGCUUAAAGUGUCCGUAGCCGGUAUAGUAAGUUCCUGGUUAAAUCGGAUAGCUUAACUAUCUGUUGGCUAGGAAUACUGCUAUACUAGGGGGCGGGAGAGGUCUGAGGUACUCCAGGGGUAGGGGUGAAAUCCUAUAAUCCUUGGGGGACCACCAGUGGCGAAGGCGUCAGACUGGAACGCGCUCGACGGUGAGGGACGAAAGCCAGGGGAGCGAACCGGAUUAGAUACCCGGGUAGUCCUGGCUGUAAACGAUGCGUGCUAGGUGUUGGUAUGGCCUUGAGCCGUAUCAGUGCCGUAGGGAAACCGAUAAGCGCGCCGCCUGGGGAGUACGGUCGCAAGACUGAAACUUAAAGGAAUUGGCGGG